GAAACAACCAGUUUCACAGUCCCUACAAUGGUGGUACCCCCAGGUGACCUAAGGACCUCCCACCUAUAAAGGUUCCAACAGUGUGAGGUGUGAAGUAUGGGGUUGCAGUGUGGGAUGUGCAGUGUGAGGUGUGCAGUGUGGGGUUUGAGGUGUGAGGUGUGCAGUGUGGGGUUUCAGUGUGGGGUUGCAGAGUGGGGUUGCAGUUUGGGGUGUGAGGUGUGAAGUGAGGGCUUGCAGUGUGUUCCAUGCAGUGUUUAGUGUUGGUUCACUUUGUUUCUUAUGUCUUGUGACACCAGCUUGUCACCAUGAAGCUCAGCAUCUGUCUGCCCAGUUUGUUCUUUCUCAUUUUCUUCCCUUCUCUUUCUGAAGCCAUGAAGACUGACCUUUCCAGGGAAAUUUCUAGAACUUAUUCAACAUGGGAGGAGAGAAAAAGAGAAGGGGAAGUGUCCCGCGCGCGCUAUGUUCUCACCGGCAAGAAUCACGCAGGACACUCGGAUCCUUCUGCAGGAAAGCUUUAAUGCGUCUUGAGAGAGGAGAGCAUAAGCUUACCAGAGCGGAGACCCCGGCCCAAGAAUCCCGUUCCUUAAUAAAGGCUGGCAGCCCGCCUGGGAUGUGUUACCCUAUGAAUGGCUUCAGCUCCUCAGGCCAAAUGAGCCACGGGAUAGGCAGAGAUCAAAGAAAUGGAGAAUUACCCAGCGCCUGCGAAAUAAUUUACAUUUAGUGCCUGCAGGCACCAUCAUUGUAAUGGAGAAUGCAGGGACGGCUCCCUACAGGGAAGAAGAACCAGGAUAAGGGAGACGUUUUUAAGAACAGUGUCUGAGCCUCACUGCUGCUUGGCCAAAUUGCUUUAGUCUCCUCCUUCUGUACAGUAGAGCAAGCUAAGGCUGGAAAGGUGAAGUGGUCAGGGUCAGGGUCUCCAGAGAUACAGAACUAGUAGGAGAGAUACCUAGCCUAGCAAAUCUGCUCAUAAGGUGGUGGGAGCUGGCAGGCCCAGAACCCACAG
rnacentral:lncRNA from 1 species